rnacentral:tRNA from 1 species
AACCUUUUAGUAUAAGUAAAAGUACAUUUAAUUUCGAAUUAAACUGUCCUGUAGGAAAGGUUA